AUGCUUCGGGUGUGGCCCCGGUCUAAGUUCCUUGGAACAGGACGUCACAGAGGGUGAGAAUCCCGUACGUGCCCGGUGGCCGCGCCCGUGUGAAGCUCUUUCGACGAGUCGAGUUGUUUGG
rnacentral:rRNA from 1 species